AUGUUUUUCUAGAGAUUAGUAAAACCAGAAGUAAAAAACACUUCAACUUUUCAAGAUUAAUAAUGAAUAAAAUUAUAUUGUAAUACUAUUUAGCCUUGUCUAUAUUAUAUAGGAAUAAUAGUAAAUUCAAGGUAAAUUUGAAAGAAGAAUAAGAAACAGAUAGUUUUACUUUAGAUAUGAAAAUAAAUGCCUAAUUUAUGUAAAAUCUAACAAAUUCACGUAUCUGUGUCUUCUAAAUUUUAAUUUUUUUUAAAAAAAAAAACAAAAACAAAAUUACAUAGGACUUUGUGAAAAUAAAAAAAUUAACACAUUAGUGUUAAAUGUAUGAAAUUACACUAUUGCUAUGAAUAUGAACUACCACCAUUUAAUAUUACUCAGAUAUUUUAUUAUUACUGUUACAUAUACAAUUACUACAAAUACCAAGUAAAACUAUACUACUAUGAACUACAAUGCUUUGGUUGUGUCAAUGUAUUAAUACUACAAUAUUAUACUAUUUUUAAUAUUUUGAUACUCACACUAUUUCAAAUUACACAAUACUUAUGUUGAUAAAGUAAAUAUUAUGAAUUCAUAUUUCAAAACUAGUAUCUAUAUUGAGUUAUUCCUUAAAAUAUUUGCUAUGAAAUUACAAUAGAAUGGUAGGUAAUUAAAAAUAACAAUUAAUGUAAUUGUUUAUAAAAUAGUCAAUACCUUUUCUUCAGUUUUUUGUUUUUCUUAGUACGCAUAAUUACAGUACAGUAGAAUUUGGAAUUUGUAAAUAUCGUAAUAGUUGUUAACAAGUAUUAUCAACUUUUUAAUUAAUUAUGUAGUAAUCAGAGUAUCAGAGUACCUACUGUAGAUGUUCCGGAACAUUUAAAAUUUGGAAUGUUAUUUAAUCUUUGUUAUAUGAAGUUAGUUAACAUAGUUAUUAUUUAUAUUAUAAAAACCCAAAAUUUAUGAUCAUACUUUAAAAUUAAUUGUUGAAAUUUCUUACAUAAACUGUAGGCAAAUAUACUAUGGAUAGUAUAAUAUUUAAAUGAUCUAAUCAAAAUUCAAUAUUUAUUUACGCUAUUGCAUCAGAUCAUGGAUAAUCCACAUAGGCAACAAUUAAAAAUAAAACACAAAGAAAAAUAAAUCACAAAGAAAAAUAAAUGACCUUGAAUAUUUAUGGCUGUUUCGCAUUACAAAACAAUUAAGAAUACGAAGAACAAAGUUCGAUUACCUGCAUAAAUUAUUUAUUACAGCAUUGAUACAACCAGGAAGGGGUUAUAAGUUCCCGAAAUGUGAAAUUGUUUACAGUUGUAUAAUUUGUAAUACAAUUACAGAUAAUUACCCCAACAUAUAAAAUACGUGGACACCGUGUAUGUCACUUAUUUAGUAAUUUAUUAUCCUCAAAACCUUUCUACAAAUUUGUUUGUGAAAAGAAGUCUUUUUAGUCGAAUUACAAUUUGCAGUUCUCGAUGGGCGUUGACCGACAAAUAGACGGUGACAUAAAAAUAACUUAAUAAUGCUUAAAAUGAAAAAAAUUACCUUAUGUUGAGUUUAUCCGCUUGGAAUUUGUUGUUUAUAUUUAAAGAUUGAAAAAUAACUAUAGAAACUCAAAAAAAUCUAAGACAAACAGAAAUCCGUCGUAACGAUUAAUCUUCCUUGGCAGCAAUGGCGACUGGAAAGUACAACACUUCAAAACGUAAUGCGAACGCGAUACAAAACGUAAUCGACUGACGUCGCAGACAGUAUUCAAACAAAGGCGAAUAACUGUUU
rnacentral:lncRNA from 1 species